GCCAUCAUCGGGGGCGACGGUCGGGGAUGGAAUCCGGUGCGAAUCCGGAGCGGUCCCGCCACUGUGACCAGGCUGAAUCGGCGUCGAGCCGAGCCGGCCCGGGAGUCAGGACUUUCGCCGCCGUCUCGCGACCGCC
rnacentral:ncRNA from 2 species